GGAUUGUGUUGACUCCCACAAAUGCAUUCCUUGGGAGUUUGAACAAAAUGAGUGAGCAGUCCUUGUGGUCUUCUCAUUAGAAUUAAGUUCC
rnacentral:snoRNA from 8 species